GUACACGCUGUGACUAGCAUAUCAAUAAGCGGAGGAAAAGAAACUAACAAGGAUUCCCCUAGUAACGGCGAGUGAAGCGGGAAGAGCUCAAAUUUGUAAAUCUUAAAGGGUUUCCCUUUACGAAUUGUAGUUUAAAGAAGUGUUUUCUGUUGAGGUUUUGGUAAAAGUUCUUUGGAAUAGGACAUCAUAGAGGGUGAGAAUCCCGUAUUUGACCUUUACUUUCAACUUUGUGAUACACUUUCAAAGAGUCGGAUUGUUUGGGAAUGCAGUCCAAAAUGGGUGGUAAAUUUCAUCUAAAGCUAAAUAUUGGCGAGAGACCGAUAGCGAACAAGUACCGUGAGGGAAAGAUGAAAAGAACUUUGAAAAGAGAGUUAAACAGUACGUGAAAUUGUCAAAAGGGAAGCGUUUGACACCAGUGUUGUUUUUCUGAAAAUCAAUUAAAGGAACUGUUUAUGCUAAGUUGUUUAGACUUUAUCAGCUAACUGUUUAGUUUUGAGCUUUUCUUUAAUGCACUUUUCAGUUAACAAGUCAACAUCAAUUUCUUUUGCUGUAAAAAAGCUUGAGGAAGGUGGCUUGAGAUUCGUCUUAAGUGUUUAUAGCCUCUUGCCUAUGCAGUCGGAGAGAUUGAGGUCUGCAGCGUAGAUCCUUCGGGGCUAAAUGCAUUUGUGCUAAGUUAUAGCACUUUAUAGACAACUUGUUGACUAUGAUUUGUCUUGUAGCUUACUCGCUUAUGUUAUUUUACCUACGCUUAGGAUGUUGACGCGCGUGUGUGCGU
rnacentral:rRNA from 1 species